GACGAACGCUGGCGGCGUGCCUAAUACAUGCAAGUCGAGCGGACAGAUGGGAGCUUGCUCCCUGAUGUUAGCGGCGGACGGGUGAGUAACACGUGGGUAACCUGCCUGUAAGACUGGGAUAACUCCGGGAAACCGGGGCUAAUACCGGAUGGUUGUUUGAACCGCAUGGUUCAAACAUAAAAGGUGGCUUCGGCUACCACUUACAGAUGGACCCGCGGCGCAUUAGCUAGUUGGUGAGGUAACGGCUCACCAAGGCGACGAUGCGUAGCCGACCUGAGAGGGUGAUCGGCCACACUGGGACUGAGACACGGCCCAGACUCCUACGGGAGGCAGCAGUAGGGAAUCUUCCGCAAUGGACGAAAGUCUGACGGAGCAACGCCGCGUGAGUGAUGAAGGUUUUCGGAUCGUAAAGCUCUGUUGUUAGGGAAGAACAAGUACCGUUCGAAUAG
rnacentral:rRNA from 1 species